AUUGAACGCUGGCGGCAGGCCUAACACAUGCAAGUCGAACGAGUGGCGGACGGGUGAGUAAUGUCUGGGCAACUGCCUGAUGGAGGGGGAUAACUACUGGAAACCGUAGCUAAUACCGCAUACCAUCAGAUGUGCCCAGAGGGGAUUAGCUUGUUGGUGGGGUAACGGCUCACCAAGGCGACGAUCCCUAGCUGGUCUGAGAGGAUGACCGGCCACACUGGAACUGAGACACGGUCCAGACGCCUACGGGAGGCAGCAGUGGGGAAUAUUGGACAAUGGGCGCAAGCCUGAUGCAGCCAUGCCGCGUGUAUGAAGAAGGCCUUCGGGUUGUAAAGUACUGUCAGCGGAGAGGCGGUACCCGAAGAAGAAGCAACGGCUAACUCCGUGCCAGCAGCCGCGGUAAUUC
rnacentral:rRNA from 1 species